rnacentral:tRNA from 1 species
CCCGGGGAAGCAACGGGGCACCGGGCUUUUAACUCGGAGACGGAUAAUUAAAUCCCCCCGGGG